GUGGAAUAAGGGAGUCCUUAAUCUAGCUGCCCCUUCAAGAAAUGUGGAAAUGAGCAGAUACUAUCAGAUUGGAAUUGGUAGAAACAAGGGAAAAGACAAUACUAAAUGGAUAAAAUGCCCCUCCAAGGUGUGAAAUUGAACAGCUACAGCCAAACAGGAAUUGGUGGAAACAAGUGGAAAAGGAGACUGAAGGAUGUCGACCAUCCAAGAUGUGGAAAUAAGCAGCUAUAGCCAAACAGGAAUUGGUGGAAACAAGUGGAAAAGACAAGACUGAUGGACGUUGACCCUGCAAGAAGUGCAAUUGAGCAGCUACAGCAAGACAGGAAUUGGUGGGCACAAGUGGAAAAAAAAGACUGAUGGACGUUGACCUUCCCAAAAGUAAGACUUACCACAGUGGAUAACUGUCACUGAUCAGUGUGCUUUGAAGAUUUGGUGACAGUACCCAGUAGGAGACUCAGAUAAAGCCAUGUGGACAGUGCUUGACAUUAUGAAUGACAAGGAUCCCUCAGCCAAACAUGAAUUGGUGGAAACAAGUGGAAAAGACAAGACUAAUGGAUGUUGCCCCUCCAAGAUGUGGAAAUGAGCAGAUACAGCCAGACAGGAAUGGGUGGAAACAGGAGGAAAAGAAGAUACUGAUGGAUGUCGACCCUCCAAGGUGUGGUAUUGAGCAGCUACAGCCAAACAGGAAUUGGUGGAAACAAAUGGAAAAGGCAAGACUGAUGGACGUUGACCCUCCAAGAAGUGGAAUUGAACAGCUACAGCCAAACAGGAGUUGGUGGAAACCAGUGGAAAAGACAAGACUGAUGGACGUUGACCCUCCAGGAUGUGUAAAUGAACAGCUACAGCCAAACAGGAAUUGAUCAAAACAAAUGGAAAUACCAAGACUGAUGGAUGUUGACCUUCCCAAAAGCAAGACUUACCACAGUGGAUAACUGUCACUGAUCAGUGUGCUUUGAAGAUGUGGUGACAGUACCCAGUAGGAGACUUAGAUAAAGCCAUGUGGAUGUGCUUGACAUUAUGAAUGACAAGGAUCCCUCAGCCAAACAGGAAUUGAUGGAAACAAGUGGAAAAGAUAAGACUAAUGGAUGUUGCCCCUCCAAGAUGUGUAAAUGAGCAGCUACAGCCAAACAGAAAUUGAUUGAAACAAAUGGAAAAGUCAAGACUGAUGGAUGUUGACCAUCCAAGAUGUGGAAGGAGCAGCCAGACAGGAAUUAGUGGAAACAAAUGGAAAAGGCAAGACUGAUGGAUGAUGACCUUCCCAACAGCAAGACUUACCACAGUGGAUAACUGUCACUGAUCAGUGUGCUUUGAUGACAGUACCCAGUAGGAGACUCAGAUAAAGACAUGUGGAUGUGCUUGACAUUAUGAAUGACAAGGAUCCAUCAGAAAAUAAAAGUAUUGAAGAGGCAUAUCCUUGUGAUCGCAUGUGGAGAAAGACAAAGAUAGACGACCAUGUAGAAAGCCAGAUUUGCACACACAAGCACAUCCAGUUUACUAUGUUAUAAUCCAAAACAAUUUUUUUUGAAACAUUUGUUUUGGAAAUGGGUGUCUGAGUUGUAAGAGGGUAUGGGGUCGCCCACUCAGACACGUGGGUUUUCUCCGGGUGCUCCGGUUUCCUCCCACACUGACCCCAUUCUUUUUCUCUAAGCCAAUGAAAUAAUUAUGUUAUCUUUUAAAAUAUUCUAAAGGAAAUAUCUUUAAUUAUCUAUUGUUUUGCUAUAAUUGUGAUUAGUGUGUACAAAUUCACUCAAGCUAUUGUAAUAAGAUGGUUGAUGGUACUAAGAAUUUAUUGUGUUAUUGAAUGUAAAUAAGCAUUUGUGAUUCAUGUGACUAAUUCUGUGGUGAAAAUACAUGUAAAUGUUUGUUAAUUGAACAUGUUUUAGUAAAUGUUAAAUGACAGAGAAUGGUGAAUUAUGACAAGUUAUUAUGCUGUGAAAGUACAUUGUCUAUGUUAAAUUAGUAAUUAAUGUUAAUUUGUGCCAGUGAAUGGUGAAUUGUGAAUAGUUCUGUAGUGAAAGUACACGUCAAUGUUAAAUUAGUAGUUAAUGUUAAUUUGUGACAGUGAAUGGUGAAUUGUGACUAGUUCUGCAGUGAAAUUACAUGUCAAUGUUAAAUUAGUAGUUACUGUUAAUUUGUGACAGUGAAUGGUGAAUUGUGACUAGUUCUGCAGUGAAAUUACAUGUCAAUGUUAAAUUAGUAGUUAACGUUAAAUUUUGACAGUGAAUGAUGAUUGAGAGUAGAUAUGCAGUGAAAUUACAUGUUAAUGUUACUUGUAUUAGUAAAUGUUAAAUUGUGACAGAGAAUGAUUAAUUUUGAAUUGUGCAUUGUAAGAUUUUCUGAUCUCAUUAGCCAAAGUUUUGUGCAGAGAUAAAAAAAAUCUUAACCAAAAAAGGGGCAAACCAAAAAAAAAAAGAAAAAAAACAACUCAAAA